rnacentral:lncRNA from 1 species
UACUGUGUUGUUUAAUGCAUUUUUAUUUCUUUGUUUCCUUAAAUGAAGAAGCUGCAGCAAAGCACACUCAGGAAUGUAAACAACUGAAAGCAGAGAAGAAAGUACUUGAGAAGGAAUUGAAGAAAGCACAGGAAAAGAUUGAUGGCUUCCCUAACAGAAAGCAAAAGAAAGUGUUGAAAAAUGCAGAAACCCAGAGUGAGAGUGAGAAUUUAGUAGCAAAUGUGAACAAAGAAAAAAUUAAAUUUCUGUUGGAAGAACUCUGGCAGUGUAUAGAAAGCUCUACAGGAAAAAAGCAGAUCAACAAAUGUGAACACACAAUAGGUAAGAUCAAGUACCAGUGCUUU